GGCUCUGUGGCGCAAUGGAUAGCGCGUUGGACUUCUAGUGGAUCCAUUCAGAUGCAUUUCAAAGGUUGUGGGUUCCAGUCCCACCAAAGUCG
rfam:Oreochromis niloticus linkage group LG18, whole genome shotgun sequence.